rnacentral:lncRNA from 1 species
GUCGAAGCUCUUUUUCCAAAGCUCUGUCUCCCCCACCUCCUCCAGCUUCCCUCUAAGAGUUCCUGUUGGUGUCCGCCCCCAGUCCACAGUCCAGGAGCCAAGAAUUCGUGGCAGACCCCGAGCCACAGCUCGCCAAAUCAUUCACUCAUUGUUAGACAUCUGGGGUUUUCAACUUUCUGUUUUCAUGAAGGACACGAUAAGUGCCCCUGGGCAGCGGCUCCUCUGGAGCUCCAGUCCGAGAACCUCGGGGGUGAAAUUCUGUUCUCAGCUCCGCCCCUGCCCAGGCCGCUCUACCAUCCCAUGAGAGGCUGGAGUUGGAAGCCCCUUGACGUCCCGGCCUCCAUGGGCAUGAGCAUCCCGAGCACCCAGACCUCGGCUUCUCAGUACCGUGUUCCAUUCAAAGUGGCCAGGACUCCUGGGAGAAUUGGCCAGCUCCAGCCUGGGCACGGAAAACACCAGAGGCUUGUAGGAGAUCACGACCCUCCAGGGCUACGAGGCCAUGUCUGAGCACUCAGGAGCCUGCUUGAUGUGGAGGGUGGGGGGGGGGGGGGUGGUGGGAGCUGACAGUGCCAGGAGAUGGCCUGGGGCACAAGCGGCCCCACAGCUCAGGCUCAGACAAGCAGCUGGAAGCCUGGUGCGCGUGGAUGUCCCCAUGGCUUUAAAGGACGCCCCACAGAACACGGAUUAAUCAUAAUAGAGAGAAAGGACAGCGUUGCAGGGGAGGCUGCAGACACGGCAUCAAUUAAACCGUCAGCGUUCACGUCACCAGAGACCGCCCAGGGUGAGAUUUUACACCUGCCGCCAGGACACCUGCAGAAGCGCAGCCUCACCCCCUGCUGUCCCCGCCCACCCAGGAUCUCAUCACCAGGAAUCCAAAGGCAAAGCAGUCCGAGUGCCCACAGCACGGAGGGGCCAGGAGCCUGCACAGGCUGACAGAGAUGGAGGAGAGACGGCGGCUUGGGGAAGGGCGUGACACCAUCAGACUCUGCUCUCAGAAACUCGUGGGGACAGUGGUCAGGCUGCAGUGGGGCCUUGCAGGGACCUGUCCAUUCCCUGAUUCUGACGAUGCUGAGGGCUUGUGAAUGUCCUUGUGUGCAGGAAACACACCAAAGAGCCUGGCUGUGUGGACCACGGUGCAGCCCAGCUGCGCACACUGCGUUUCCUGUACCAUACUCGGCACUCCGGCCUUGCCUGCGCACUGCCUGAGUCUGCAUUAUCUCUGUGUGUAACUUGGCCCCACCCCGGGAUCCGGGGAGGCUGAUCCCCCACGGGCCUCUCCCAACCUGAGCAGCGCCCUCCUGGCCACUGUCCACUGCUGCCUGAGGCCCUGCCCCAGCAGAAGGCACAGGCUGGGACAGGCCUGCAAGAAUGGCCAGGAGGGGCCUCCCAGGGUCGAGGCAUCUGAGCAGCACCCUGCAGGACGGGCAGGCCCCUCAUGCCCCGGGCACCUGCACAGGGCCUGCGAUCUCAUGCAUUCGAAUGGUGCCGAAUGGGCCAGGGUGUCCUGGGGGAUCCUGUCGGGCGCCCUCCUCAGCUCUUCCACUUUCCACAUGAGGACUUGGUGCCCAGCACCUUCCUGUGCAAGAAGUCAGGGAGUUCAAGACGAGAUCAAGGCUGAUCCAGGCCUUGCGCGGCUCCUGCUCACAGGAUCCUGGGGACCGUUUCAAGAAGAGCCUCAGGACACGGAGAAUGCUCAGUCUCCUGGCUCUCCCCGCCAGGCAAGAGGGCCCGGGGGUGGAGGGAAUCCAGGGGACACAGUCCUCACCCCACUGUCAGCGCCAGCAGACCCCAACACUCAUCCCCCAGCCCCAGGCACACAACCCGCCCUGCCGCCCCUCGCCAGGCCCUGCCGGGUGUCCACCCUCUGCGGCAGCAGGUUGGGGAGGAGACGUGCUGG